rnacentral:sRNA from 1 species
AUUUUGUAUAAAUGUUAUAAUUUGCUCGUUUCUUUAUUGGUCCGUAGUACCGAAAUUAUAAUUUUGAAUUUCUUAUACGUUAUAAAAUAAAAUUUAUAAUUUGCGUAAAACGGGGCUAUUUUGGUAUUUUUAUUUUUUAAAUUAUUAUAGGCGAAUUAUACUGUAGGGAAUAAUUAUAUCUAAUUGUUUUAUUUGUAAUUUAUAUAAUAUUUAAAUAUUAUUCGAGGGUUUAAUUAAUUUAUUUUGUUUAUCCGUUUAAUUAUAAAUAAAAUAUUAUAAAUAAUUUGUGGUCGGUCCCUAAAUAUUCCAUUAAAGAUUUCCAGAAUCUUAAUAUAAAAGAUUUGUUUUUAUUAGUAAUAGUAUUUCUUAGCAAUCCGUAAUUACUAACAAUUAUUUGCAAAAAUAUGUAAACGAUUUUUUAACGCUGUUUUUUUUUUAUAUAAUGCAAAAUCAAUAUAUUUGGUAAAUUUAUUUAUUAUAAUUAAUAUAUUAUUAAAUUUGGUUCGUGUAAAAGGUUUUUUUAAAAAUAAUAAUUUAACGAUAAAAUCCAAUAUAAUAAUUUAUUAUAUUUUAUUA